rnacentral:rRNA from 3 species
UACGUAGGGGGCUAGCGUUGUCCGGAUUUAUUGGGCGUAAAGAGCGUGUAGGCGGCCAUGUAGGUCCGGUGUGAAAACUCGAGGCUUAACCUCGAGAUGUCAUCGGAAACCAUUUGGCUAGAGUCCGGAAGAGGAGAGUGGAAUUCCUGGUGUAGCGGUGAAAUGCGCAGAUAUCAGGAAGAACACCAAUGGCGAAAGCAGCUCUCUGGGACGGUACUGACGCUGAGACGCGAAAGCGUGGGGAGCGAACAGG